CCCUUAGAUGUUCUGGGCCGCACGCGCGCUACACUGACUGGUGCAACAAGUGUCGCUCCUUGGCCGACAGGCCCGGGCAAUCUUUGAACGCUGGUCGUGAUGGGGAUAGACUUUUGCAAUUUUUGGUCUUCAACGAGGAAUUCCUAGUAAACGCAAGUCAUCAACUUGCAUUGAUUACGUCCCUGCCCUUUGUACACACCGCCCGUCGCACCUACCGAUUGAAUGGUCCGGUGAAGCCUCCGGAUUGGCGCGCACCUCGGUGCCGCCGAGAAGUUGGCUAAACCUUACCAUUUAGAGGAAGGUGAAGUCGUAACA
rnacentral:rRNA from 1 species